UGAAAAUCUGUGGAAAUACACCACCGCUCCCCAUCUAACUUAAGAGGUUGAAAAAAUCUGCAAGGAAGAAUGGGAGAAAAUUCCCAAAUCCAGUUAUGCAAAGCUGAUAGACAUACCCAAGAUGACUCAAAGCUGUAUCCCCACCAAAGGUGCUUCUACAAAGUAUUGACUUGAGUGUGAAUACUUAUGUAAAUGAGACAUUUCUGUAUUUCAUUUUCAAUACAUUUGCUAAUUUCUAAAAACAUAUUUUCACUUGUAUUUAGAUGGGUGAACAUUUUUUCUUUUGAAUUCAGCCUGUAACACAACAAUGUAGAAUAAGUCAAGGGUAUGAAUACUUUCUGAAGGCACUUGGUAAGUGUGAUUUUGUAAAUGUGUGAGUAUGACAUUCCUGCCUGUGUGGGUUUGAGCAGCUGUGACAGGAGGCCUCUUCAGGCUGAACCUGGGUCUGGGAGGACUGGUGGCAGUCACGGCCAUAGGAGCAACCAUGGGGGUGCCGGCAGGAGCUCUGAUCAUCGCCAUGCAGGGAUUGGCUGGAGCUCUGAUCAUCGCCAUGCAGGGAUUGGCAGGAGAAACGGUCUGGGAGAGGAGGAGGAGGGAGCGCAGAGAGCUGUAUGAACUAAAACUGGCAGAAUGGUACAUUCCAUGGGCAUCAAAACACACACACACAACACUUUUACUCCUAGUAUUCACUCACUUUUUCCUACGCCCUCAAGGAGUGCCCGUUUGUAGUUGACGGAUGACCUGACUGCUGAUUUGAGCAGCAGUGGGCGGACCCAGGAUGUAGACAAGGACAUACAGAAGAUCCAGGAGCUGCUCAGUUUACCACGGAACGAGUCCUUGGCCCAGGACUGACAGCAGCUGAAAUACUCAGAUACCAAUCAUAGCCAUCCUCACAGACAGACAAUGGUGGGUGGGACUUUCCUCACCCCUGAGGAUAUACUGGUUUCUGUUGAUGUUGACUACUCUAUUCUUUUUACUUCUGUUGAAUGGAAAAGGGGCCCUACUUAUUCGCUCAACAAAAUAUGUAUUGAUGCUGUAUUAUGAUUUAUACUGUAAAUGUGAUUGCUUUGUCGAACUUUUAAAUGAUUUCCAACAUAUUUCAUAUAAAUGGCAAUAAUGACACAGUA